GCUGGCUUGCACAAAUACAGUGCAUGUGUCAUGUGUCCCAAUGCUUCUCCAUGAGAAGCAUGUUAAUGGACACAAGUCACACAGAAACAAAAUGAGAGACACACAUUGACAGAUACAGAUGCACAAUAACCGUGUGUGGCUGGCAGUAGGUGUUUUUGCCUGUGUGGGAUGACCUGUCCAGGUCUAGUUGGAGUUGUGGAAUUCAGAAGCAAGAACAGGAC